CAGGAUCUCACUCUGUCGCCCAGGCUGGAAUGCUGUGGCAUGAUUACGGCUCAUUCCAACCUCCACUUCCCAGUCUGAAGCCAUCCUCCCACCUUAGCUUCCUGAGUAGCUGGGACUGCAGGCAUGUACCAUCAUUACCUCAAAGGCCCCAGGCCGGUGGUGGAAGUUGGGGAAUAAACCAGCCAUGGGGAUGUUGUGAUGGAGGGGUGUACAGGAUAUUAAGGGACACAGAGUAUCAUGUAAUUCAGAUGGAGGGGGAGGUGAGGGAAGGCAGCCGGGAGGAGGGUGACCCUUGAACCGAGGCUUCAAGGAUGGGAGGAGUUGGUAAGACAGAGAAGGGGUAAGAGCAUUUGGAGUGGAGAGAAUGGCAAAUGCAAAGGCAUGGAGCCAUGAAAAGCAAGACUAGGGUGGUGCAAGCGGGCUUUGAUACACACAUGUGAUGGCUUCUGCCGCACCAGUCAUCCUGCUCGGAUUGCCACAACAAACCCUUUGUUAUAUCUGGAAACCAGGGUGCAGAAUACAAGGAGGCACCUGGACAGACCUGAGAAAGGGCACCUCCUGGCCGAGCAUAGUGGCUCACACCUGUAAUCCCACCACUUUGGGAGGCCAAGGCGGGCGGAUCACUUGAGGUCAGGAGUUCGAGACCAGCCUGGCCAACAUGGUGAAUCCCCAUGUCUACUAAAAAUACAAAAAAACUAGCCAAGCGUGGUGGCACACACCUGUAAUCUCAGCUACUCAGGAGGCUGAGGCAGGAGAAUCACUUGAACCCAGGAGGUAGAGGUUGCAGUGAGCUGAGAUCGGACCACUGCACUCCAGCCUGGGUGACAGAGAGAGACUCCGUCAAGAAAGAAAAGAAAAGAAAGGGAAAGAAAGGGAAAGGAAGGAAGGGAGGAAGGGAGGGAGGGAGGGAGGGAGGGAGGGAGGGAGGAAGGCAGGCAGGCAGGCAGGCAGGCAGGCAGGCAAGCUCCUUAAACGUCACACCUUAGGUGCCAGCUUGUUUACCCUCAUCCUGGCCCUGAGGAAAACCAUGGCCCUUCCAGAGAUCUAAAGAAAGAACACCUUAUCCUGAAGGGGUGGGAGCCACCGCAUCCUUUCAAGCCAGAGAGUGAAAGAAUCAGACGUCCCUGCCCUGAGUCUCUGCAGAAUGGAGAAGAUGAGAUGAUUCCAGACAGAAUUAGAAGGAAUCAUCAACAAGCUCUGACAUCAAAUUGGCCGUGAGGUCUGGAGGAAGGGUGGGGCCUGAAAUGACCCACUUGGAGGUCCUGAGUGGGUGAUGAGGCUGUUGACCAUGACAGGGAUUCAGGAGGAAGAGCAGGUUUGGAGAGAAAGAUUAGAACUCAUUUUAGCACAUCUGGCAUUUGAGUUGCCUGUAGAACAUUCACAUUAACAUGUAAUUAUAGGGCUUGGGAGAAAAAGAUCCCAGCCAGAGAUGAGGAAAUUGUCAGCGCCCAGGUGGUAGGUGAAAGCCUUGGGUCUGCAUAAAGGGAUGUGAGAUAAGGGCAGGACUCCAGGGAAGAAGACAUUAAGAGUGGAGGGAAGAGGAGUGAACCAGAGGGCAGAGAAGGGAUGGUCGGAGAGGAAAGAAAACCAGGAGAGAUGAGUGCCCAGAAACUGACCAGGAGAGCACUUCCCGGGGCGAUGGUCAGGGGUGUCCUCGCUCCUGGAGUGGAGGCUGAAGCAGGAAGCUCACGUGAGCCCAGGAGGCUGAGGCUGCGGCAAGCUGUGAUUGCACCACUGCACUCCAGGCUGGGCAAUAGAGCAAGACCCAGUCUCUAAAAAAGAACUUUUUUAAAAAUGUGGUUUGGGCCAGGCGUGGUGGCGCAUGCCAGUAAUCCCAGCACUUUGGGAGGCUGAGGUGGGCGGAUCAUGAGGUCAGGAGUUCAAGACCAGCCUGACCAACAUAGUGAAACCCUCUCUCUACUAAAAAUACAAAAAAAAAAAAAAAAAAUUAGCCAGGCUUGGUGGCGCAUGCCUGUAAUUCCAACUACUCAGGAAGCUGAGGCAGGAGAAUCGCUUGAACCCGGAAGGUAGAGGUUGAAGUGAGCCAAGAUCACGCCACUGCACUCCAGCCUGGGCAACAGAGCGAGACUCUGUCUCAAAAAAUAAAAUAAAAUAAAAAAUAUGGUUUGGAGCAGUUUUUCAGAUGGGAGAUCAUUGACCAUGGUUAUUUCUAGAACACAGAGCCAACAGAGGGAAAACCCAGAGGGCCACAGAGAGGAUGGUAGAUGCGGGGGGUGGGAAUGGGAUCCAGGGGCAGGUGGAUAGGUCCACCUUUGGACAGAGAGGACUAGACAAAAAGGGAGAGCAUUCUGUGGGUGCAGAAUGUGAGGAGACAGGAAACUGAAGGAGUACUCCAAUAACUGAGGUGUGGGAGAGGGGCAGUGUGGAGGGUUGGCAUGGGCGUGGAAGGGGGAGAAAAGGGACAGUUUGAAAUAGUCACUCAGAAGAAGGAAAGACAAAGCUGACAUUUAGUGUGACCUCUCAUCAUUCAUUUAUUCAUUUAGCAAGUAUUCACGGGUGUCCCUUAUGGGCAGGGCACCAUGCCAAGAAUGGAGCUCAAACAAAACACAGCUCCUAAAGGAAAGGGCUGGAAAUCUAGGCCGGGCACGGUGGUUCACGCCUGUAAUCCCAGCACUUCGGAAGGCCAAGUCAGGCAGAUCACCUGAGGUCAGGAGUUCGAGGCCAGCUGGCCAACAUGGUGAAACCCCAUCUCUACUAAAAAUGCAAAAAUUGGCUGGGCACGGUGACUCACGCCUGUAAUCCCAGCACUUUGGGAGGCCAAGGCAGGCGGAUCAUGAGGUCAAGAGAUUGAGACCAUCCUGGCCAACAUGGUGAAACCCUGUUUCUACUAAAAAUACAAAAAUUAGCUGGGUGUGGUGGCGCGCACCUGUAGUCCCAGCUACUUAGGAGGCUGAGGCAGGAGAAUCGCUUGAACCUGGGAGGCAGAGGUUGCAGAGAGCCAAGAUCAUGCCUGUACUCCAGCCUGGUAACAGAGCGAGACUCUGUCUCAAAAACAAAACACAAAAAUUAGCCGGGAGUGGUGGCAUGUUACUGUAAUGCCA
rnacentral:lncRNA from 10 species